rnacentral:tRNA from 1 species
UAUAUUUUAGUAUAAGAAGUAUAGAAAUUUUUGAAGUUUCUGGAAAUAGUUUAAUUCUAUUAAAUAUAA